ACAUGGCUGUUAUAGAAUGUUGUAGUGUCAUGUUAAUGGGGUUCUAACAUGGCUGAUAUAGAAUGUUGUAGUGUCAUGUUAAUGGGGUUCUAACAUGGCUGUUAUAGAAUGUUGUAGUGUCAUGUUAAUGGGGUUCUAACAUGGCUGAUAUAGAAUGUUGUAGUGUCAUGUUAAUGGGGUUCUAACAUGGCUGUUAUAGAAUGUUGUAGUGUCAUGUUAAUGGGGUUCUAACAUGGCUGAUAUAGAAUGUUGUAGUGUCAUGUUAAUGGGGUUCUAACAUGGCUGUUAUAGAAUGUUGUAGUGUCAUGUUAAUGGGGUUCUAACAUGGCUGUUAUAGAAUGUUGUAGUGUCAUGUUAAUGGGGUUCUAACAUGGCUGUUAUAGAAUGUUGUAGUGUCAUGUUAAUGGGGUUCUAACAUGGCUGUUAUAGAAUGUUGUAGUGUCAUGUUAAUGGGGUUCUAACAUGGCUGUUAUAGAAUGUUGUAGUGUCAUGUUAAUGAGGUUCUAACAUGGCUGUUAUAGAAUGUUGUAGUGUCAUGUUAAUGGGGUUCUAACAUGGCUGUUAUAGAAUGUUGUAGUGUCAUGUUAAUGAGGUUCUAACAUGGCUGUUAUAGAAUGUUGUAGUGUCAUGUUAAUGAGGUUCUAACAUGGCUGUUAUAGAAUGUUGUAGUGUCAUGUUAAUGGGGUUCUAACAUGGCUGUUAUAGAAUGUUGUAGUGUCAUGUUAAUGAGGUUCUAACAUGGCUGUUAUAGAAUGUUGUAGUGUCAUGUUAAUGGGGUUCUAACAUGGCUGUUAUAGAAUGUUGUAGUGUCAUGUUAAUGAGGUUCUAACAUGGCUGUUAUAGAAUGUUGUAGUGUCAUGUUAAUGGGGUUCUAACAUGGCUGUUAUAGAAUGUUGUAGUGUCAUGUUAAUGGGGUUCUAACAUGGCUGUUAUAGAAUGUUGUAGUGUCAUGUUAAUGAGGUGCUAACAUGACUGUUAUAGAAUGUUGUAGU